AUAUUUACCAGGCAGGGGAGACAGCAUGAUCACGAAGGUGGUUCACCCAGGGUGAGACUUAGCCAUUGCACUUGGGCUAUGCUGACCUCUGCCAAUUCUCAAAUGCAGGAAUCUUGACCGUGUAAUUUGUGGUAGUGGGGGACUGCAUUCGUGCUCUCCCCUG